rnacentral:ncRNA from 1 species
CGCCAGCGAGGGCAAACCGCCGGUGACGGCGGGACGCAAAGCCUCCGGCCUUGAGCGUUCAAGGUAGCGGGGUUGCAACA